rnacentral:rRNA from 1 species
AUGGCGCUGCGUACCCUGAUGGCGAGGGUGCGGACUUCCGCCCCUGCGCUCCACCUCCGGACGCCAGCCCUCGGCAUCUCCCAUCUGCCCGGCGGCCGCCCCAACUUCCACUCCGCCGCCGCCCCCCGCCUCUGCCCGCCGGCCGGCGGCCGUCCCUGCCUCGUCUCCACAAGAUUCCUGCGCACAAGAAUUAACUUGGAAUCAGCUAGCAAAGAGGAGCUCGAACGUGAGGCAACCUUCUUAAGGGAACAGAUCAAUGAGUUUGUGGACCGUAUUCAGAAGGAGAAGGAGAGAUCUGAUCUAAUCAAGAAGGAUCUUUGGGCUUCUCUGAAGCGUAUGGCCUGUUGUGCUGCUGUGGUGAAAGUCAUAACGCUUUUCAUUCCUUAUAAACUAGCGGAAGAAGAUGAGGUGAUGGAUAUGAACUAG